rnacentral:lncRNA from 1 species
ACUAAUCUACUACCCCAGUAGAUUAUAUAUUACUAAUCUAAUAAUUUUAGUAACAUGAUUUAUUCAAAAUCAAAGUUUCUUAAUUGGUUGUCUGUUUACGUACCAUGUGACAGUGGAUCGAUACUUUACUCUUAAAAUGUACAGUGAAAUGAGCUUAUACUUUGUGUAGUAGUAUAUGAAGUACUAAGUAGAACUAUGAGGCAACUUCGAUGGAAUCCAGUCUCUAAAUUGGCAGAAUUUAUUUAAUUAAAGGGUCAAGUUUGGUCAUUGACUUAAAUUUAUUUAACUAUACGAAAACUUAGUAAUGUAUUACUCCAAAAAUAUACAGUAAAAGUAACGGAUAUUUGCUGUAGUAGAACAGGAGUUAUCAAAGGGCAAAGUUCAGCUACUGGUGUCAGUUGAACUUACUGAAUGAUACUUUAUGCAUUAUUUAAAAACUAUGCAGUAAAAUAAGUUGAUAUUUCCUGUGGUAGUAGUCUAUAAAGUACUAGUUAGUGAUGUCCCGAUUUGAGUAAUUUAUUCAAAUCCAAGAUUUAGAAAAGAGGCAAAUUGCCUCUUUAUAUUUUCCAUUAGUGAAUAUAUUUAGACAUUCACUGUAAAUUCUGUAAUUUCUUAAAUUUAAUUCAUUUCCUUGCAACAUUUAUCUUAAUAUCGCCCCAGAUGCUCCUAAAAGUGAGAGUCUCGGCUUUUCUCAGUGAUCGCAACAGUUACCGUAACUAUAGCACGAAUCGCGCACCUUGAAUAUAGCGACGGCUCAUUUGACCACGGAAAAGUAAACGGGGUUCAUUUGACCGUGGUGACACACCGGAGCAAACGGCAACUGUAGCUUGUUUGAUCCUUUCGGUAAUUAAUCUUACUGCAUCUAUUUAUGACAAUGAGUAGCACAUGUGUACAGCGAGCGGCGCUACAAUAAGUAUAGUGAAUUUUACUGUCUUGUUGUCUGCGUUAGAUUAAAGAUUAUGACACAAUAAAAAAGUGCUACCACUAGCAUCAUAAUGGCUCAGAGAACUUUCCUUUUACGAUGCAAACAAAUCGUUAAUAAGUGUACUCGACUUCUACAAGGGGACAGUCCACCAGAUGACGCAUUUCAAACAGUUCUAACAAGAAUGGAAACCCUUAAACGCUGUCUGGAGUGCUCAAGAGGGAGGUUGAUGGAUGCAACAGCAGUACAAGACAUGCUUGAAAACAUUGAGAAAUAUUCAGGAGGUCAAGGAAAUGCAACAGGGGGCUCAACAAGGUACUAACUGCAGACUGACAAGUGAAAUCUUGUUUUUCAGGCCUUUAUGAUUACAAAGACUAACUGCAUACUACAUGCUAAUUCAUUACCUAUUUGUUUAAUUAUGUGGGAAUUACACUCAUCAACACAUGGAGGUGUGUGUUUACGCAGAACUGUUAUGAAGGUGUCGUUAUGUAAGUUUUGCUUUGUUCAGCAGCUGUUCGGUUGCUUUAUCAAUAAUUGUUAAAACGUCUAUGCCUCUGCUCUAUAGGGGACUAAUGUUUUAGCUAGCUAGCUGCGCUAAUACAGCGUGACAGUACGGUCACUUAGAACUUUUCAGCGGACCUAAUUUAGUUCCCGUUAUCUUUGCCACCCUGUAUAUGAAGAAGUAAUUGCACUUUAGUGAGCAGAGCGAGGUAUAUGUUGAAACCUGUUACGCUCUGUUGCUGUUUAGUGUACUGUAAUAUGUAUUUUGAGACUUAAAACUAUUUCAGUAAUUUCAUGUCGUUUGUUUUAUUUCCACAGUGCUUAUAGACACAAGCUGUUACGGCGAUAAAGAGGCACGUCAUGGCUGGACUGUCAUGCGAGGUGGUGUCAGCAAAAGUAAAACUCACAAGUCAUAGAGUCAAUUGACUCUCUGCAUAUUCGUUGAACCGAGGGCUGCUUGAAGUGCUGUUUCUGUUGUAAUAGAGGUGAGGUCAGGAAAAUAACUUUUCUUAAAUAUGACAUAUAUAGAUGCUUCAGUCGAACAAGUCUGUCACAAACAAGUAAUUCCUUUUCCAAGAGAUGUGUUUUGAUCAUUUAUCAUUAUCAAACAUGUGAUCACAUGACUUUUACUGGCUAAUGAAUUAUGCCUUCUACAUUAAACAAUUACUGUCUUUUUGUCCUCUACAGAUUAACGUGCACAUGCAUCAUAGACCAGAAGCACAAGUGGCCAUUGGUUUUAAUGCUGUCAACUAGGGCUCAAGCAUGCAUUAAAGAGUCCAUUUACCUAAGAUGAUGUGGUUGUUAUUGCUCCUGAUACAAAGUUUUCUGUGUGUACACUUAAUGUCACUUUUCACAAAGACAAAUUCUGUAACAUCUGUUGUCUCUGUUUGAUUAUAGCAGGUAAUGUUUAUAUUAGUGUUUAGAAAGAUAAAAGAAGGUACAGUACUGGGUUGUAUAGCACCGACGCCUGUGUGGUCACGUGUAACACUUGACUGUAUUUCAAAUAGAUUUCAGUAUUCCCCAGUAAAUAAAAAAAACUCUACAAAUGUCCA